AAAUUCUGAUUCCAGUUCCCAAGUAGCCUCCCUGGGAGUGUGGUUCUACCACACGACCUUUACAAAUGAUAUUUCCCGGUUGCAGAGUAUUCUGCUCUCUCGGUCCGUGAUACCGACCGGUACUUCUUCAUAAGACAAGUCAUCUUGGAGUGAAAGCGGUUCAUGAGCCAAGACAUGAGAAGGGUCCGGGUUGUACUUACGUAGCAUAGAUACGUGAAACACGUUGUGAACUCGGGAGAGCUCGGGAGGCAGUGCUAGUCUGUAGGCAGCGGUACCAAUCUUGUCUAAGAUUUCAAAGGGUCCAAUAUAUCGGGGGUUUAAUUUUCCCCUCCUGCCGAACCUACUAAUUCCCUUGAAAUGAGUGACCUUAAGAAACACACGGUCGCCUUUCUCAAACGCUAGGUCUCUCCUCCGGAUAUCUGCAUAACU
rnacentral:lncRNA from 1 species